UUACAGGAUGUGACCGUUAGAAGCCCCCAAUUUCAAAUCCGCAGAGAACAAACCAGUCACAACACAAGAGAUACCCCACUGGCCACCACUGCCAAAAAAAAUGAGAGAAGACGACCAACUGCAACAGCCAUUAACACCAGAAGAGUUGAUGCAAGAGCUCAGAUUCAAAGCCACUGAGCUUCUUCUCAGAGAAGAAUGGCAAGAAUCCGUUCAAGUCUACACCCAGUUCAUCAAUCUCUGUCAAGACCAGAUCUCUGUCAAGUCACAUCAAAAUCACCCAGACCCAGACCUCCUCACCAAGCUUCAAAAAUCCCUCUGCUUAGCCCUGUCAAACCGUGCUGAAGCACUUUCCAGGCUUAGAGAUCUCACGGGAGCGCUCAAAGAUUGUGAUCAAGCAUUGAAAAUUGAGAGUACACAUUUCAAGUCCCUUGUUUGCAAAGGCAAAAUCUUGCUUAGUUUGAACAGGUACUCAAUGGCCUUGGAUUGCUUCAAAACUGCUGUUCUUGAUCCACAGGCUAGUGGAAACCUUGAAACUCUGAAUGGGUACGUGCAGAAAUGCAAGAAACUGGAAUUUCAAUCGAGGACUGGAGCUUUUGAUCUCUCUGAUUGGAUCCUAAGUGGGUUUCGUGGCAAAUCUCCAGAGCUUGCUGAGUACACUGGUCCAGUGCAGAUUAAGAGGUCUGAGCUCAGUGGAAGAGGCCUGUUUGCAACAAAGAACAUUGAUGCAGGGACUUUGCUGUUAGUGACUAAAGCAAUUGCCACAGAGAGAGGUAUAUUAUCAAGUGAAGAUUCUGGUGAGAAUGCACGGUUGGUCAUGUGGAAGAAUUUUGUUGAUAAAGUUGUAGAUUCAGCUACCAAGUGUGAAAGAACUCACCAUUUGAUUAGCACAUUGUCAAGUGGUGAAGAUGAGGAUAAGCUUGAGGCUCCUGAAAUGAGUCUAUUUAGGCCUGAGGCAGAGGAGAUUGGAGAGUUAAAUGAGAAGCUUGAUAAGGUUAAAAUUUUGAACGUAUUGGAUGUGAAUUCUCUUGUUGAGGAUUCAGUUUCAGCUAAAGUCUUAGGGAGGAAUAGUGAUUAUUAUGGUGUUGGAUUAUGGGUUCUGGCUUCAUUCAUUAACCAUUCAUGUAAUCCUAAUGCUAGACGCUUGCAUGUUGGGGAUCAUGUGCUAGUUCAUGCUUCCAGGGAUGUUAAGGCGGGUGAAGAAAUCACAUUUGCAUAUUUUGACGUGCUUUCUCCAUUAAGCAAGCGAGACGAAAUGUCAAAGACAUGGGGUUUUCAUUGCAGUUGCAAGAGGUGCAAAUUUGAAGAAGAAAUGUGUUCUAAGCAAGAGAUGAAGGAAAUAGAGAUAGGACUUGAAAGAGGGAUUGAUGUGGGCAGUGCAAUUUUUAGGCUUGAGGAAGGUAUGAAAAGAUGGAUGGUGAGAGGGAGGGGGAAAGGCUAUAUGAGGGCAUCAUUUUGGGCUGCAUAUUUUGAAGCUUAUGGCUCUGAGAAAUCUGUGACGAGGUGGGGAAGACGAAUUCCGGCUGUCGAUAUAGUAGUGGAUAGUGUUGCAGAAGCUGUGGGAUGUGAUGAGAGAGUACUGAAGGUUUUUAUGCAAGCAUUUAAACGAAACGGCGUUAGCUUGGUGGAUAUGGAGAAAGCACUCAAGUUGGGAAGAGGAGUACAUGGAAAGGUGGUCAAGAAACAACAAGCCUUAAGGUCCCUCCUUGACUUUGGCAUUCAUGAUGCUUGAACAUAGGCUAUUAAGCUAGUAGCGAUGCCAAGUUUUUUCUUUUUCCUUUUUCUUUUUUAAACUAUUGCAAGGUCAUUUUUUACUUUGUUUUGUGCCAUAUUGACAUGAUCUGUAGCUUUUGUUUUCUGGCUCAGUCCAAAAAUUAGUUUGUGCCACCAUUCAUAAAUAACAAGGAAGCACUUCUCUUACAAUA